UUAUGAGCGUUUGGGCUUUUGAAAACAUGGAUGAGAGGUUUCAAAGUCUUUGUUAACGUUGUCAGUGCAUGACUGGAAGUAGGCAAAUUUAUUUAGCCUAAAUAUGCGAUGUACUGUAACGUCUAAACUGUGUUAAAUUGGACGGAACGCUGAAGCUACUAACGUUAGUACGUACGUUUUAUCGUAUACAAAUACAGACAUGUUGUUCUCUGAUUCAGGAGUGACAAACACCCUCUAUAAUAGAAGAGAAGCUCAAGAUGUCAACAUUUUCUGAAGGGAGUUGCAGACAGAUGUAGAAAACUGCUUUUCAAAUUUUCCACAUUUAUCACAGUUAUUUUAAGAUGUUGACAUCCAAACAUUUGUCCAUGCUAGUGGCCGAGCAGUAGGAUUGGAACAGACCUGUCAGAAAACAUCUCUGAACCAUAUGACUAAUUUCAAAACAAUUUAUUCUUGAGAGGAGGCACCACAGUUAAAGACGGUGUUUUGAAGAAUUAUGAACUUCCUGCUCACAAACUACAUACUUCUCCAGUUAGUCUGACAGGCUAUCAAUGAGAAGGCGGCAUUACAGGACACCACAGAAAACUAUACCACUAAAAACUGAUUAUUGCUGCAGUCAGAAGAAACAGAUUAACAGCAACUAUCUGCUACAGACCAAGAGAUUGAGCACUGGGUUAAGACAUGGUUGCAGCUCAGUGUUUCCUCUAGGAUUUUUUUCAGCUGUGGCGGCAGGGGCGCCCAUGAUGAUUAUAAAUGUACAUUAUUUUUUUUAAAGUAGAAUAUAGGCUACAGUAAACUAACAUGUAUUUUUUAUCAUUUUCAUGCUGUCAUUUACUUUUCCUCAUAUUUAUAGCAUAUUGCUUUUCUAUGUUUGAUCUAAAAUGUAUUUUCUUAAAAAACGUUACAUAGCUACGUACGUAGUUCGGAUAUUUCAUUGUAGUUUUAAUGUAGUGUGCAUUGCAAGUUGUGCUCGUGUUUAGCGUUACAGAGCUGUUGCAAACUCACGCACAGUCCUGUUUGAUAAUCCGCACCACUUUGAUUGACCGAACAUCCAUCAGCAGCAAUUUUAUUUCACACCCGGUCCGGACCAUUUUACAAAGACCCCGAGCCGGUCACACCGCAAAUCGCGCAGUUCAAUAGAAACCUUUAACGGUCUUCAGACAGAUCUUAAACACAAAGCACGGGGCCAUUUAAAAACGAGUCGAAUUUUGGUCUUGGAUGUUAGACCCGCAUUUUACUCUUGUCUAUUGAGUCCCGACCUGCAUCUACAACACAAAUGACACGCGAAUAGUCUAUUAUUACACCCGUUAGAUCAAAUCCCGCGGGUACCCCGACCCUGCUGUUUCGUCUGAAAACAGAUAAAACAGUCUCACCGUCUGCCUCAAGUUUCUAUUACCAACGUUCUUCUCUUCCACGGGAAUAAUGUAAGUUUCCUUACAAACAGAUUCGACUAUUAAUGUCUUGCAGUCGCAUAUAAGUAGUAUUCAGUAUUUAGCCUUUUGUUUUUGGACAAAUAUCAUAUCAUUUAAUGUGAAACUUUGUGAGUGUCGAUCUAAAGCACAGAAGAUUGAUUGACAGCUGAGCGGUCAGCAGCGCGCUACUGCGCUUAUAGCCUAUAUUCUGAAUAACUAAUGACCAGAUAAGUUGAUAAUGUGACUGAGUACAGUGAUUCCAAAUGAAUGUCCAAAAAACUCGUAAUAUGUUAAAUCGAAAGUUUAAUAAUGUCUUUUCUCGCAGCCCUGCGCUGCGUCCGCGUUGAACAUCAAAUGCAUGAUGACCUUGCACCUUAAAUUACCCUACAUUUAUAGUCAUAAAGAUAAAAGUAAAACAAUAUUCGAAACUUCAAAUUAUGUAUUUUUAUUUGUGUAAACUCACAAUAAGGAGAAAACUUUGUGCUUACUUAAAAUCAUUAAAAACAUGACGUGCUUUCUGCUGCUUUGGUCAGCGCGUCACAAAAAAAAAAACAGAAACUCAAAUACUUUUUUAUUCGUUUUGUCAAUUUAAUUAUUAUUUAAGUGUAACAUAUUUCGUAUAGGCUUAUUUAUUUUAUUAUGUUUCUCAAAACAGAGACGUAGCCUAAUCAUCCUCUGUUGAUUUAAAUCUAUUUGUUCAUUAAACUAAACCCAUGGAAGAAAUUAUGAUACUUUAGGAGAUUUAUUUAUAAAUGAGUUAACAACGCGAAUCCA